rnacentral:rRNA from 1 species
AUUGAACGCUGGCGGCGGCUUAACACAUGCAAGUCGAACGGUAACAUAAAGAAGCUUGCUUCUUUGAUGACGAGUGGCGGACGGGUGAGUAAUGCUUGGGAAUCUAGCUUAUGGAGGGGGAUAACUACGGGAAACUGUAGCUAAUACCGCGUAGAAUCGAGAGAUGAAAGUGUGGGACCUUCGGGCCACAUGCCAUAGGAUGAGCCCAAGUGGGAUUAGGUAGUUGGUGAGGUAAAGGCUCACCAAGCCGACGAUCUCUAGCUGGUCUGAGAGGAUGACCAGCCACACUGGGACUGAGACACGGCCCAGACUCCUACGGGAGGCAGCAGUGGGGAAUAUUGCGCAAUGGGGGCAACCCUGACGCAGCCAUGCCGCGUGAAUGAAGAAGGCCUUCGGGUUGUAAAGUUCUUUCGGUAGCGAGGAAGGCAUUUAGUUUAAUAGACUAGGUGAUUGACGUUAACUACAGAAGAAGCACCGGCUAACUCCGUGCCAGCAGCCGCGGUAAUACGGAGGGUGCGAGCGUUAAUCGGAAUAACUGGGCGUAAAGGGCACGCAGGCGGUGACUUAAGUGAGGUGUGAAAGCCCCGGGCUUAACCUGGGAAUUGCAUUUCAUACUGGGUCGCUAGAGUACUUUAGGGAGGGGUAGAAUUCCACGUGUAGCGGUGAAAUGCGUAGAGAUGUGGAGGAAUACCGAAAGCGAAGGCAGCCCCUUGUGAAUGUACUGACGCUCAUGUGCGAAAGCGUGGGGAACAGACAGG